UACAGGGGGGGGCAAGCGUUGUUCGGAUUCACUGGGCGUAAAGGGUGCGUAGGUGGUGAGGUAAGUCGGAUGUGAAAUCUCCGGGCUCAACCCGGAAAUGGCAUUGGAAACUACCUUGCUGGAGGAUUUGAGGGGGGGAUUGGAAUACUUGGUGUAGCAGUGAAAUGCGUAGAUAUCAAGUGGAACACCAGUGGCGAAGGCGAAUCCCUGGAAAAUACCUGACACUGAGGCACGAAAGCUAGGGGAGCAAACAGG
rnacentral:rRNA from 1 species